rnacentral:rRNA from 1 species
UGGGGAAUAUUGCGCAAUGGACGAAAGUCUGACGCAGCGACGCCGCGUGUGGGAUGAAGCUCUUCGGGGUGUAAACCACUGUUGCCCGGGACGAAAUGCCCUUUCGAGGGAAUUGACGGUACCGGGUGAGGAAGCACCGGCUAACUCUGUGCCAGCAGCCGCGGUAAUACAGAGGGUGCGAGCGUUGUCCGGAAUCACUGGGCGUAAAGGGCGCGUAGGUGGCUUGGUAAGCGUGUGGUGAAAGUCCGGG